AUACAUGCAAGUCGAGGGGCAGCGCAGGUGGCAAUACUUGGCGGCGACCGGCAAACGGGUGCGGAACACGUACGCAACCUUCCCAAAACAGGUGAAUAGCCCUCCGAAAGGAGGAUUAAUACACCGUAAGAUAUGGAUGUGGCAUCACGAUCAUAUUAUAGGCAGCAAUGUCGGUUUUGGAUGGGCGUGCGCCUGAUUAGGUAGUUGGCGGGGUAACGGCCCACCAAGCCUCCGAUCAGUAACUGGUGUGAGAGCACGACCAGUCACACGGGCACUGAGACACGGGCCCGACUCCUACGGGAGGCAGCAGUGGGGAAUCUUGCGCAAUGGGCGAAAGCCUGACGCAGCAACGCCGCGUGCGGGAUGAAGGCUCUCGGGUCGUAAACCGCUUUCAGCAGGGAUGAGAAUGACAGUACCUGCAGAAGAAGCCCCGGCUAAAUACGUGCCAGCAGCCGCGGUAAUACGUAUGGGGCAAGCGUUAUCCGGAUUCAUUGGGCGUAAAGCGCGCGUAGGCGGCUUGUUAAGUCAGGCGUGAAAUCCGGGGGCUCAACCCGCGGCUUGCGUCUGAAACUGGCAGGCUUGAGUCUGGUAGAGGAAAGUGGAAUUCCUGGUGUAGCGGUGAAAUGCGCAGAUAUCAGGAGGAACACCAGUGGCGAAGGCGGCUUUCUGGGCCACGACUGACGCUGAGGCGCGAAAGCUAGGGGAGCGAACAGGAUUAGAUACCCUGGUAGUCCUAGCCGUAAACGAUGGGCACUAGGUGUGGGGGGUCAUCGACUCCCUCCGUGCCGAAGCUAACGCAUUAAGUGCCCCGCCUGGGGAGUACGGCCGCAAGGCUAAAACUCAAAGGAAUUGACGGGGGCCCGCACAAGCAGCGGAGCAUGUGGCUUAAUUCGACGCAACGCGAAGAACCUUACCAGGG
rnacentral:rRNA from 1 species